rnacentral:rRNA from 1 species
GACGAACGCUGGCGGCGUGCUUAAUACAUGCAAGUCGAACGGAAAGGCCCUGCUUUUGUGGGGCGCUCGAUUGGCGAACGGGGGAGUAACACGUGAGUAACCUGCCCUUGACUUUGGGAUAACUUCAGGGAACUGGGGCUAAUACCGGAUAGGAUCUCUUGCUGCAUGUUGUGGGUUGGAGAGUUUCGGCGGUUGGGGCUGGACUCGCGGCUUAUCAGCUUGUUGGUCGGGUAGUGGCUUACCAGGGCUUUGACGGGUAGCCGGCCUGAGAGGGUGAACGGCGACAAGGGUACUAAGGUAGGGAGCAGACGCGUACCGGAGGCAGUAGUCGGAAGUAUUACAGAGUGACGGGGAGCGAGUGGCGGAAGCGCCCCGUGCGUGAUACUCGGUUUUGAGUUGAGAACCGCUUUGUCAGGAAAUGAAGCGUGAGUGACGGUAAUGAGUAAAAAAGCACCGGCUAACUACGUG